CUGGACUGGUUUACAUACAACAUUCUUCAUUUAGGAAUAGGUAAAGACCUCCUUUUUCAGCAGUCAGCAGAUCAAGACCUCGGCUGUUCUGGAGGACAACUGUGGCUAGGGAACUUACCUGAGCUUGAAGAAGGGAUAGCGAUUGAGUUAAUUCUGCAGUGGUAGCAGAGACAUCAUUAGAGUGGCUACAGAAGGUGAGGAUUGAAGUGGUAAGGCCUGCUAUGCCUGUGCCGAUACCGUAGAAAUUCCUAGCCCUACAAGUAAGGGGAUCAACGGAAUGACCCACUUGUAUUGUGUUGGGACCACAAGGGGAACAAGGAGGCUUUUGUCUCUGUUGGCAAACUGAAUUUUGGCAGUAAGGAAAAGUAGGGUAAAAGCGUCUGUCCAGUUGGUGGGAAGGCAGAUGUAAGAAGAAGAACCACAGAGGAAAAGAGUCUGUGGCUUAGACAGAACUGCAAAUGUAAACUGAAAAGGUUACGAAAGGAGAGAGCAACCACAUUUGUCAAAGAGAUUUUUUUAUGCCAUGGGCCAGUAUGAUCGUCACAGCAGGCAACAUACCUGGAGUUUCACUCUUGUUACCCAGGCUGGAGUGCAAUGGUACGAUCUCGGCUCACCACAACUUCCGCCUCCUAGGUUCAAGCAAUUCUCCUGCCUCAGCCUCCUAAGUAGCUGGGAUGUCCUCCUGUAUCUCAAAAGAACAUGUGGUAUGUACCAUCAGGUACACACACCUGGAGAUUAUCAGUCUAGCAAAAGUAAUCAACAUCCACAUAGGAGGGAAAAGCAAAUCAACAAUACCAGAAAUGGAAUUUAUCCAUCAUCAGUCCCAGAUCUCUGAGGGCGUCACCCUUGGAUGUGAAAAUCAACACAGAAGUUUAUAAACAAGAUUGCAGAGCGGUAGAAUGCCAAGCAAGAUCAUUUAGUUAAUACGAGGGCAACACCGAUAAGUCUAGACCAGAUGGGACAGUGAUAGGAACUAACUGAGGCAAAGCUACCUUAGUUUGUAGAAGCUUCCUCUUCUGCUCUUGUACAAGUAGGAAAUAGCCCAGUGUUUUCCCUUGGCCUUACGGUCAGGUUUAGUAUUACAUUCGUUUGCUCAUGAAUUCGACAGUUAUUGAGUGCACCCUGUAUGUCAAUCACCGUGCUGGAUCCUGGAGUUGCGGUGGUGAGCAAGGUGGACACAGCUCAAGUCUGUGGAGCUUAGAGACUGCUCAACACAACAGAUCAUCACAGUUGCCACAUACGGACAUUAUUUUUUCCUAAAUUUGCAUAUAUUUUUUAAAAAAGAAGUAGAAGAAAUGUAAUAUUAACAACAUCUAACAACUGUUGAGUAUAUCUUAUGUGUCAAAAAUUAUUACAAAUAUUUUACUAGCAUUACUCCUAAUCCUUCCAAAAAUCCCUUAAAGGGGUCAUUAUGGUUACCCCUCUUUACAGUUGAAGCAUUUGGAAGACAGAUACUAAAUCAUUUGUUGAAGAUAAUGCAGCUGGUAUCGGAGAGGUAGGAUCCUAAGCCUGGUCUUUGGACUCUCAAAUCAACAUUCUUAACAGCAAUUCUUUUAUUCAUUAUGAAUUUUGAAAAAGCUUUGUAAUUUCAAUGUUUAUAAGGAAGGAGGAAAGAAAGAGCUUGUACAUUUUAGUCAAGCAGAAAAACGCAGAUGAAUUGGUAAACAUCCACCAAAAAAAAAACAAUAGAAAACUGAAAAAACAGUGUUGCUUGCUUGCAUAGGUUGCCAGAUUAUGCUGGAUGUCGUGAGAGAGGAAGGGGGGAAUGUGUGAGUAUUGAUGAAAAUACUUCCAUAUUGGUGAUUUGUCUGCAAUCUAAAACUUAUAACAGCUUUAGAUAUACUUCUAAAAAUUAUGUAGAACUUGAAUUGUUACUAAUAAAAUGUUAUUUUUAUUUUAUCAGUUUAAGAACAUUUGUAUAAUUAUAUUUUCUUAUACAUGUUAAUAUCAAAAUAUACAUUCCGUUUUUUUGUUUGUUUGUUUUGUUUUGUUGUUGUUGUUGUUUUGAGACGGAGUUUCGCUCUUGUUACCCAGGCUGGAGUGCAGUGGCGCGAUCUCGGCUCACCGCAACCUCCGCCUCCUGGGUUCAGGCAAUUCUCCUGCCUCAGCCUCCUGAGUAGCUGGGAUUACAGGCACGCGCCACCAUGCCCAGCUAAUUUUUUGUAUUUUUAAUAGAGACGGGGUUUCACCAUGUUGAUCAGGAUAGUCUC
rnacentral:lncRNA from 1 species